UACGUAGGGUGCAAGCGUUAUCCGGAAUUAUUGGGCGUAAAGAGCUCGUAGGCGGUUUGUCGCGUCUGCUGUGAAAACUGGAGGCUCAACCUCCAGCCUGCAGUGGGUACGGGCAGACUAGAGUGCGGUAGGGGAGACUGGAAUUCCUGGUGUAGCGGUGGAAUGCGCAGAUAUCAGGAGGAACACCGAUGGCGAAGGCAGAUCUCUGGGCCGUAACUGACGCUGAGGAGCGAAAGCAUGGGGAGCGAACAGG
rnacentral:rRNA from 1 species